rnacentral:rRNA from 1 species
AGCGAACGUUAGCGGCGCGCUUAACACAUGCAAGUCGUACGAGAAAGGGCUUCGGCCCCGGUAAAGUGGCGCACGGGUGCGUAACACGUAGGUAAUCUGCCCUCAAGCGGGGGAUAACUUCCCGAAAGGGAUGCUAAUACCGCAUAAGACCACGACUAGUUCGCUAGACGCGGUAAAAGCUGGCCUCUGCAUGCAAGCUAGCACUCGAGGAUGAGCCUGCGGCCUAUCAGCUAGUUGGUAGGGUAACGGCCGACCAAGGCUAGGACGGGUAGCGGGUCUGAGAGGAUAAUCAGCCACACUGGUACGGAAACCCGGGCCAGACCCCUACGGGAGGCAGCAGUGGGGAAUAUUGGACAAUGGGCGCAAGCCUGAUCCAGCGACGCCGCGGGGGUGAUGAAGGCCUUCGGGUUGUAAAGCCCUGUGGGGAAAGACGAAAAACGCCUGUUCAAAUAGGGCAGGCGGUUGACUGUAUUUCCUUAGCAAGCACCGGCUAACUCUGUGCCAGCAGCCGCCGUAAUAC